AACGAACGCUGGCGGUAGGCCUAACACAUGCAAGUCGAACGAGAAUUCAUUUUCGGAUGAAGGACAGUGGCGGACGGGUGCGUAACGCGUGGGAAUUUGCCUUUAGGUAGGGGACAACUAUUGGAAACGAUAGCUAAUACCUUAUAUCCCCCGAGGGGGAAAGAUUUUAUCGCCUAGAGAUGAGCCCGCGUUGGAUUAGCUAGUUGGUGAGGUAAGAGCUCACCAAGGCAACGAUCCAUAGCUGGUCUGAGAGGAUGAUCAGCCACACUGGGACUGAGACACGGCCCAGACUCCUACGGGAGGCAGCAGUGGGGAAUAUUGGGCAAUGGGCGCAAGCCUGACCCAGCCAUACCGCGUGAAUGAAGAAGGCCCUAGGGUUGUAAAGUUCUUUCAAUGGUGAAGAUAAUGACGGUAACCAUAGAAGAAGCUCCGGCUAACUUCG
rnacentral:rRNA from 1 species